rnacentral:tRNA from 1 species
GGGGCUGGGGCUCAGUGGCAGAGCACUCGCUUAGCAUGUGUGAGGCUCUGAGUUCAAUCCUCAGCACCA